UCUGCAGCCUAACCCAAAGGCCUCACCCUGCUGGUGGUGGGAUCUUGUCAGGCCUGCGAACAGAAACGACCCUCGUCGCCUUUCUCUGCUGCUGCCGUGCCUCUGAAAGUGAAUUCGAGGGUCCACACUC
ensembl:snoRNA